AGGAUGCAUGAUGAAAGGAAGUCCCACAGGAGACCAAAGGAGGAGGAAAUCAAGCACUCAAAGAACCCUGUGAUGACUGCUUUCCCUACAGUGAAACAACAUUUUGCAGUCACACAUCCUGUCUGACCAUGGCUGAGGAUCCAGGAGUGGGAAGAAGUAAUGCCAGAACCAUGGUUGGGUCAUUUCUCAAGAUGACAGCGGAAGGCAAGGCUGACACCAGUGACUAAAAGCACCUAUACUCCUGACACCAAUAACUAAAAACAGCGUAUUGGUAUCCAGGGGGCAGACCUAGGAAAAGAAUGCUCUCGUUCAGCAUACUAAAUAGACUUCACAACUUCACCUCCAGCCUCAUCUCCAGUGGCUUAGAAGACAGUGUCACUUAGAGUCAUUCAUCUCUCAACAAAGCAGGCCCUGAACUCAUGUGGGAGGAAGCAAACUCCAAGGGGAAAAG